CCUACGGGGAGCAGCAGUGAGGAAUAUUGGUCAAUGGGCGGGAGCCUGAACCAGCCAAGUCGCGUGAGGGAAGACGGUCCUAUGGAUUGUAAACCUCUUUAGGCGGGGAGCAAUGCCGGGCACGCGUGCCCGGAGGGAGAGUACCCGCAGACUAAGCAUCGGCUAACUCCGUGCCAGCAGCCGCGGUAAUACGGAGGAUGCGAGCGUUAUCCGGAUUUAUUGGGUUUAAAGGGUGCGUAGGCGGAUUUUUAAGUCAGCGGUAAAAUGUCCGGGCUCAACCCGGGCCGGCCGUUGAAACUGGGGAGCUUGAGUGGGCGAGAAGUAGGCGGAAUGCGUGGUGUAGCGGUGAAAUGCAUAGAUAUCACGCAGAACUCCGAUUGCGAAGGCAGCAUACCGGCGCACGACUGACGCUGAGGCACGAAAGCGUGGGGAUCGAACAGGAUUAGAUACCCCUGUAGUC
rnacentral:rRNA from 1 species